AGCAUCAGCUCCGCGGGUGGCGCCAUCAAACAGCGGAUCCUGAGCGGACCUAUGGCGUGCAUCAGUCGAGAAUUUCUUUGCUGGGACACGGUUGCGCUGAACCCUCUUUUGAGACUGCCUCUGCAUAGGGCCCGGGAUCUUGUGCGGCCCCCUGGGGACGUCCCCUGUUUGCUGGGUACGGUGAGAGGAGGAGGCGACAAUAACUGUGAGGAAAGAGCAGUAAAUGUGGAGAUGGUACAGGAGCACGAUUACAACAGCCGUCCAGUCCCAG